ensembl:ncRNA F17B5.11 ncRNA
CAAUUGAGAAUAAUCCUGAAAUUUGAGCAUAAAAGUGAAGUCCAGAAGCUCAAAUCUCACCUAUGACUCCAUAAUAUCCAUAUUGAAGCUUCUGGGGUAUCUUGUUUCCGAUUAUGUAGAUGGAGGGAACAAUAAGGUAGAAUUG